rnacentral:lncRNA from 1 species
CACAGAGGAGAGAAGGCACAUGUCUCCAGGCCCCUUUCCAAGCUGGCUAGCCCUCUGGCUGGGUCUGCCCAGAUGCAAACAGCCAGGCCCAUCAGCGAGAGAUAGCAGCCUUUUCAUCGAUGGACUAGAGUGUAAGAUUUGUGGAUUGCCCGAGUCUUCCUUAGACUUCUUGGGUUGAGGGCUGAGGCCGCUGUAAGCCAAGGUACGCAACGCUUGCUAAACAGGAAUCCCUGGAAUGAAUCCAUGCAUGAGGCCUUUGUGCCAUGUGACAGUUGAAGGCUGUGGUGACCCCGGAACCGUCCCACUCCGAGACGCCUUAACACCGUUUUUCUGCUGUUACAAACCACAGAGCAACGCGUGUGCCUCCUCCCGCCCUGGGGACUCUUUCUGUGGGAGAGGUGCCUGGAUUUAGAGGAGCGACCACUCUUCAUUUGUAGGUACUCUCCCUAGCCUGGGAGCCCUUCAGCUCCCACUCCAGAGUGGUUGUUGGUGGUAAUACGCCAGGCCUGGGGAAGCAGGAGUGGGAAGGUGUGAGAGGUGGGGGAGUGUGGUUGUCAACUGUUCUGAUUUUCCACCAGGAUCUUGGUCACUUUCCCAGUUGUCACUCGGCCCACAAACUAGGAUGUGAGCAGCAUAUUAAGAAUCUGCAGAGAUGUUCCCGUCUGCCCGGCAUAUGGAUGUCCUUCUGGGCUGCAAAGUGGCAUCCUGUGGGCAACUCCCCCCACAACAACCAGCUGUGAGCUGUGCCCAGGCACAGAGGGACCUGGCUUUCCCUGUUUCUGCAGAUGGAGCCCAGGGUUUCAGGGAGGGAGGGGGCAGGCUGGGACCUGUUGGGGAUCUGGGCACUUUCUCAUGCUCCUUGAGCUGCAAGUCAUAGAAGGAGUGGGGUGGGAGCUGGGAAUGUACCUUCCCAAGGCCACUGGCAGAACCAGCAGGCCCUUUGCUCUGGGAUGAGCUCCCUCUGAGGGGUGGGGACAGUAAAGCGGACCGAAGUCCCUGUUCUGCGGGAUGGAAACUGGCUCCCCUCCAUUGUACAGGCCAGCUCUGGGGAUUUGGGCAGCAGAUUUGGGGUUGACAGCAGAAUGACAUGAUCACCAGUUGACCUUGGCCAGGAUGCCAGCUUACUUUCUCGCUUACUUCUGCAGGUUCUUUGUUCUGCGG